AGCGUCUUUCCUUCAGCUACCCAGGCAUGAGGAUGCAGACAUUUGCCACCAGACUGUUUCUGAAGGUGUGCCAACAGCCACAGCCCAGAGAGCCCUGGGAGCAACGUUAGAGCUUGUAGGAGCAUCCCCGAUGCCAAUGUGUGACCUUGCUAAGGGCUGCAGUUAAUGCAGAUUCAACAAAUAAAUAAACAUUUGCAAUAGGUUCAGACGUGACCUCAUCCCAACGGUGAUCACUAACAGAAUUAUUGACCUGACCGUUUGCUGCUGGAGAAUUUUGGAAAUGCCAGGUUCAUUACAGCCCUGCUUAUUGCCAGGAAGCAUUACAGCUUUGUGCUCGCAGCAGCUUUAAAGGCAGAUGAAAGCCAUAACGCCGGGUCACCCCAGAGACACACCAAGUGCAUCAUCUCAGCCUAGUUGGAAAAGGAUAUUACAAUGUCCUGGUACCCUGAGCUGUUUGCACUGAUGUCCCCACGGAGGGGACACAGAGAGCUGGCUGGGAGAAGAAAAUGAACAGUUCUACUUAUGCAGCGAGUAAAUGAUCACGGAGCAAGAAUGAUUUCCAUUUGCCUACAUUCCUUCCUGCUCUCAGCAGCCCCAGAUCAUGAUCUCCCUGUACUGACUGAGGGCACAGAUCUGGCUCAUGCUGGAGGGGUGAUGCAUUCCAGACAUCCCAUGGAUGACACCCAGGUGGGCUCACCUGCAUUCGUACAGCCCGGGUCAUAAGGAGCUAUUCUGAAGCAAAGCCCUGGAGCACUGCAGUGGGUAGGAAAAAAAGCCAUUAAACCCUCCUGCCAGCACAGGAUUAGCUAGUGCAAGGUUAAAUCUCACUUCUUAAAAGGCUGGAUUGCAGGGUGAUAAAUGGCACGGCUUCCUGUAUUGUUUGGUAAUUAAUUGUUUGAAUCCUAUUGUAUUAAGGGGAGG
rnacentral:lncRNA from 1 species